rnacentral:rRNA from 1 species
GGAAGGUCCGGGCGUUAUCCGGAUUUAUUGGGUUUAAAGGGAGCGUAGGCCGGAGAUUAAGCGUGUUGUGAAAGUUUGCGGCUCAACCGUAAAAUUGCAGUUGAUACUGGAUAUCUUGAGUGCAGUUGAGGCAGGCGGAAUUCGUGGUGUAGCGGUGAAAUGCUUAGAUAUCACGAAGAACUCCGAUUGCGAAGGCAGCCUGCUAAGCUGCAACUGACAUUGAGGCUCGAAAGUGUGGGUAUCAAACAGGAUUAGAUACCCUGGUAGUCCACACGGUAAACGAUGAAUACUCGCUGUUUGCGAUAUACGGCAAGCGGCCAAGCGAAAGCGUUAAGCAUCCCACCUGGGGAGU